AGAGGAAUGCAGAGACGGACAACCUAACUGUCCAAUCUUUGCAAAGUUGGGGUACUGUGGCAAAAGCAACACAUACUACAAGAGUGUGAUGCAGUCGUGCAGACUAUCCUGUGAUCUGUGCGAGUGCAGAAAGCAAUGUGCUAAUGGAGGCCAUCACAACUGGGAGUGCGAUUGCACCUGCAACAAUUCGUGGGCAGGAGAUCAAUGUCAAGACUGUCGACUCCAAUGUCAGAAUGGAGGCACUCCUGACAAAGACUGCUUAAAAUGCAGAUGCCCCACGGGAUUUGCGGGAAAG